UCUAAACCAAUAAAUCUUGUAAAGUCUAUGAUAUCUAAUAGUGAACCAUCAACAGUUAACUUUUUCUCCUUUUCUUCAUCAUCUUCCGUUUUUCAUCUUCAUCACCAUCUUCUUAAUAUUCAUCAUUUUCACAAUAAAAAAAUCCAGAAAUUUAAAAAUCAAAACUCAAUUUUUUUUUUCUUAAACAAAAUCAUUUCUGCUUCAUCAAAGAACAAAAUCCAAGCAAAAGUUUCUGCAAAAUCAUUGUGGCAAAUCCCAAAUUUUUUAGAUAUGUCUCAUCUAAAUAGCAGUUGGAUGGAUUUUGAAAAAGUAGAGAUUUUGUAUUAUGGGCUAUUUCCCAAAUUUCAUUGUGGCAAAUCCCAAAUUUCCUCGUCCACCAUCGCAUCGUUUCCAUCAACCCUAUAGAUACCAGUAUGCGUGUUGGUUAUGGUGUGUGACUAUGGGUUGGAUGGAUCUAAUUUUUUUUUCUUCCAGAUCUUCACUUUUUCAAUCUUCACUUUCAAUUUUUUUUUCUUUCUUUCGUACAGAUCUGGUGUGUUGGAUGAUGAUUUUGUUUAUGAUUUUUUAUUCUUUCA